AUGGGAUGGAACUGGAUCUUUAUUUUAAUCCUGUCAGUAACUACAGGUGUCCACUCUGAGGUCCAGCUGCAGCAGUCUGGACCUGAGCUGGUGAAGCCUGGGGCUUCAGUGAAGAUAUCCUGCAAGGCUUCUGGUUACUCAUUCACUGGCUACUACAUGAACUGGGUGAAGCAAAGUCCUGAAAAGAGCCUUGAGUGGAUUGGAGAGAUUAAUCCUAGCACUGGUGGUACUACCUACAACCAGAAGUUCAAGGCCAAGGCCACAUUGACUGUAGACAAAUCCUCCAGCACAGCCUACAUGCAGCUCAAGA